UCUGCCCCUCUAGCUCAUUCUUUUGAUGCAUUCAUUCAACUUAGAACUUUCCUUUGGCACUUUCAGUCUUGUACAAAAGUUGCUGCAGACUUCGUUUCUCCGGAAAAUUUACAUGAGUGCCUUCGAUUGACUGAGGAGUUUAGGAGACUUCCAAAGAACCACAAGGCCAGAGAAGACAAGCUAGAGGUAAAGAAAAUGAUUGUUCAUGGCGUGAACCAAGCAGUUCAGGAACUUGAACAGUUGACAAAUACCAGUAUGAAAACAUGUGGAUUCAUUUGGGAGUAACGGCAUGCAGAUGAAAGAAUUGAUGGUGUUGAUCUAUUUGAAUUGAUACAAUGCUUCCUUGGAUUUUGGACAUUUGCGGGAGAGAAAGUUCAGAGAUAUCUGUAGAUAAAAGACGGAAUUAGUAACAGUAUUCGCUUUUUCACAUACUUUACGCAAAAAGAUAAAUAAUAAAGAAGGCUUUUGGUUUCAUCA